GGGAUUAGGGUUCGAUUCCGGAGAGGGAGCCUGAGAAACGGCUACCACAACUAAGGAAGGCAGCAGGCGCGCAAAUUACCCAAUCCUAAUACAGGGAGGUAGUGACAAGAAAUAACAAUACAGGACUUUUUUAGUUUUGUAAUUGGAAUGAGUUAAGUAUAAACCCCUUUACAAGUAUCAAUUGGAGGGCAAGUCUGGUGCCAGCAGCCGCGGUAAUUCCAGCUCCAAUAGCGUAUAUUAAAGUUGUUGCAGUUAAAAAGCUCGUAGUUGGAUUUCUGUUAAUAAUUUAUAUAUAAUAUUUUUAAUAUUUAUAUAAUAUUAACAUAAUUCAUAUUACUAUAAUUUUUAUUAGUAUAUGAAAUUUUACUUUGAGAAAAUUAGAGUGCUUAAAGCAGGCAUAUGCCUUGAAUACUCCAGCAUGGAAUAAUAUAAAAGAUUUUUAUCUUUUUUAUUGGUUCUAAGAUAAAAAUAAUGAUUAAUAGGGACAGU
rnacentral:rRNA from 1 species